CCCGCUCAGAAACUCAAAGGAAGUUGACGGGGGAGCACCACAACAGGUGGAGCCUGCGGUUUAAUCGGACUCAACGCCGGGAAACUCACCAGAUAAGACAGCUGAAUGAUAGUCGGGCUGAAGACUCUACUUGACUAGCUGAGAGGAGGUGCAUGGCCGUCGUCAGUUCGUACUGUGAAGCAUCCUGUUAAGUCAGGCAACGAGCGAGACCCACGCCAACAGUUGCCAGCUCGUCCUCCGGGAUGGUGGGGACACUGUUGGGACCGCCUCUGCUAAAGAGGAGGAAGGAAUGGGCAACGGUAGGUCAGCAUGCCCCGAAUUAUCUGGGCUACACGCGGGCUACAAUGGGUGGGACAAUGGGUAUCGACACCGAAAGGUGAAGGCAAUCUCCUAAACCCAUCCGUAGUUCGGAUUGUGGGCUGCAACUCGCCCACAUGAAGCUGGAAUCUGUAGUAAUCGUGUCUCAAAAUGGCACGGUGAAUAUGUCCCUGCUCCUU
rnacentral:rRNA from 1 species